CUGGAUGAAUGAAUGUACAAAGAACAACAACAUCUUAAUUCCUGGAUUCAUACGUUUUCAAUACUAACCUAAACACCAUAGAGUCACCUAGAGACAACUGUAAUUUCUCUUCUAUUAACCAAAAAACUAUUAAUUUUAAAAGAAUAUUCACAUUAAACAUGGAGCAAUCUGCUCUGUUACAGCUCCACUAUACCUGUGACCUACAUUCUUGUGUAGCAUGCACUAGACUCAUGUUCUCAGCCAGGCUAUGGUGGUCAAUGAUCAUAGUUAGUCUAUCACUGAUACAUGUUUGUCAGCUUGCUCAACCAAACAUCUGUCCCUGUUUGAUCUUAACAUAAAAGUCCAAAGUUAGACUUAUCUCAAAUCCUAGUCAUAGCUAUUAAUGAUUAAGAGAGACAAUGUGAUAGAUCCUAUCUACAAAUAACUAUUUGGAAGGCAGAAGUUUGGAGAGACAUUAACUCUUUCAGCAUUUAUUUAUCAGAGUACUCUGGCUGAAAAAAAAAUUGUAGAAGCUUCUCCAGAAUUAAAUGUUUAAAGAACAUUAUUUGAAGGAGACAGUAAAAGAAAAGGGAUGUAACAGGUGAAACAAGACUGACCAUGUUUUAAUAAGCUGGCUAAUAGAUUCGGGUGUACAUGUGCAGGUCUGUUACCUGGGAAUACUGCGUGAUACUGAACUUUGGGGUACAAGUGAUCCUGUCACCCAGGUACUGAGCACAGUACCCAACAGGUAGUUUUUCAACCCUCUCCCUCUAGUAGUCCCCAGUG